CCUACGGGUGGCAGCAGUGGGGAAUAUCGCACAAUGGGCGCAAGCCUGAUGCAGCCAUGCCGCGUGUGUGAAGAAGGCCUUCGGGUUGUAAAGCACUUUCAGCGGGGAGGAAGGCGGUGAGGUUAAUAACCUCAUCGAUUGACGUUACCCGCAGAAGAAGCACCGGCUAACUCCGUGCCAGCAGCCGCGGUAAUACGGAGGGUGCAAGCGUUAAUCGGAAUUACUGGGCGUAAAGCGCACGCAGGCGGUCUGUCAAGUCGGAUGUGAAAUCCCCGGGCUCAACCUGGGAACUGCAUUCGAAACUGGCAGGCUAGAGUCUUGUAGAGGGGGGUAGAAUUCCAGGUGUAGCGGUGAAAUGCGUAGAGAUCUGGAGGAAUACCGGUGGCGAAGGCGGCCCCCUGGACAAAGACUGACGCUCAGGUGCGAAAGCGUGGGGAGCAAACAGGAUUAGAUACCCCAGUAGUC
rnacentral:rRNA from 1 species